UAGUGUAGGGGGCAUGUGAAACGCCGAGUGUGAACGGAUUGGCUGCAGAUAAUGAUGAAAAGGAGUGGAAUUUCCCCCACUUUUUCGUUUAGUUACCACUUAGCAAAAUCAUUCGGGUGUUAAAAUAGUUUGCCAUUGCUAUCUGAGAUAGUUGCUACUGGACGGGGGAAAGAGAGAGACCCAGGAUGAGAGUGGAUAUCAUUCAGUUCUGGAGGAAAGCCGUUCAUCCUGCAGAGUCUCUGAAAGAAGAAGAAAGUCAGUUACUGCCGAUGCUGAUAUACCAGUGAGGAUCAGUAAGGAAACUUUAUUCAGAAGAAUACUGCCACUUCAACAGGACUGCUCCUGUGGUUUCAUACAAUACCACCUGUCAUGUUUGGCACUUCUCCAAUGGGGAAUCCUGACGUGGUCUACAAACAUUAAUGGAUUUAGCCUCCAAACCCCUGGUAUGGUAGAUCCCAGCCUUCCUGCAUGCCAGGGAGUCAGUCCCCACCCUGGAGCUGGGAAUACACACCUGAGGAGAAGUGGGGUAGGGAUACAAUGGAGACCAGGAGGAUAGGCAUUGUCCACCUUGAAGUUCUAUUGAGGGAAAAAAAUGGAGAGUUAACUUCCACUGAGCACUGUGUGCCAGGGAACUCAUCCUUGAAACAAUCCAUUCAUGGAGACAGAGGGAUGGAUCAGAAUCAGGAUGCAGGUACAUGUCCUCUCUGCAGAAGACCCUGUCUUGUUUCAGAUCCCCUAUGGUCUUUGGGAUCUGAGAGUACAGAGCCAAAGGCCAUCUGGGGCUGGGGAAUCCAACCUCAUCCCCUGACAGAAUCGUCCUAGAGAACUCAACACAUGGAUCCUCCAUGAAUAUUCUGUUCUGAGCCCAUCAGUCCAACUCCACCCACUUGUUGGGGAGUCACAGAGACAGAAUGGGAGAAGGACUAAAGACCACCAGUAUCUGCACUUACAGUAAAUUGUUAUUGGUGUAGGACAUGCCUUCUGCCCUUGUCCCAGUUCUGCAGAGGAAGCCAAAAUAAUUCAAAGGUUCCUUUUUCUCUAUGGUAUGUUCUGACACCAAACACAGAGAUCAGUUCAAUCCUGUGUUCCAAAAAAAGGAACGCCAGCCAUGCAGUGUUCUGUCCUUUUGAAAACCAGGGAUACAAUAUAUAUAUAUUUAAAAAAAACCCCUCCUAAUAAUGUGGGUUAUACCAGACCUUUUGUGAGCAGAGAAUCUCUACUGUCCAUUAUCCUUCUAGGUCAGUACAUAUGGAUAUUUAAUCUUUGUUUUGUAUCUCCAAGGUUGUUCUGUUCUAGAUCUAGGCACCAACUCUCUCUGUGUUUUCCUUCAAGAUACAAGACCCUAAAGGCGGAGAUUUGCCUGCACUUUGAGGGAAAAAGUAGACCAUCAUUUGGGAGCUUAGAAGAAUCCUAGUGUCAGGAUGGCCGAGUAGUCUAAGGCGCCACACUCAAGGCUCUAUCUUCCCCUCUCCUGGGUAUUCUGGCCUCUGUAUAGAGGCGUGGGUUCAAAUCCCACUUCUGACACAUCUUUUUGGGGGGAAGGAUAGCUCAGUGGUUUGAGCAUUGGCCUGCUAAACCCAGAGUUGUGAGCUCAAUCCUUGAGGGAGCCAUUUAGGGAUCUGGGGCAAAAAUUGGGGCUUAGUCCUGCUUUGAGCAGGGGGUUGGACUAGAUGACCUACUGAGGUCCCUUCCAACCCUGAUAUUCUAUGAUUAAUCCCAACCCUUGGUCCUGCAUAUUUAGCUCCCAGCCAGCAGUUUCUCCCUCUUUCGUUUCUUUUGGGCUAACUACAAAUAGCGUCAUGUCUCCUUUUCAUGUCAGAAACAUCUAUUGACUGAUGAUCACAUUUCCCCUGCUUGGAACUUUCCUGGCUUCUGCACUACCCCGGUGAAGUGGGCUAGCGAAAGGAUCUGAGUCCUCGCUCCCACUUCCUCUAUCCAGAGGCCUCCCUGUCCUUGAGGACUCCCCUUCCACUCUCCUGUCUGGCAGAGUCCUCAUAACCCCAACAAGGCUGGGCCCAGGAUUCCUGGGGGGCUUGACACCCAACCUUGCUGUGGUCACCUAGUACAGGGGCUAGGGUGUCCCCACUCUGGAGUACUCUCUCUGCACUGGGCACUUCCCUGACCCACUGAUCAUUACAUACAAUUUAAAGCAAAUACAAGUCAUUUAAAUCAACAACUAAUUUUAAAAAGAAUAAGGAAAAAUGGGAAAGGUUAAAGGAAACACAUCAACCCGCUCUGUGGCAGGGAACAUCACAAACAGUGUCUCUGGAACUUCAAGGCAGUUCACAGUCUGUUCCUUGUAAGUUCCAGGCCUCCUUCUCAGGCUCUGACUGUGCUGCAGGGAUGCUGUGGGUUGGACACUUGCUCUGGUGGUGGCCACACACUCUCAGGCUCUAGGUGGCAGGGCCCUUCUUCCCAGCGUUGCCCCCGCCCUGUCAGGGUUACCAACCCCGCUCUGAGUCUGGCCUGCAGAGCCUCCUGGCUCAGAUAUCAAUCAAACUGUGCUGGACCUGCUGCCCAGGUUCCCCCCUCACUCUCCCCAGCUGCUCACCACACCCAGCUCCGGACUGCUCCAGCCCCAGCUCCAGCUCCACUCUGUCUCAGCUUCAGCCCCACUCUGCCUCAGCACGGCUGUGCUCUGCAUUCAGCUCACUGGGCUGCUUCUCUGGCCUCUCUGGCUCUGGUUACUACAGCUCUCCUCCCAGGACAGGUCUGCUCUGCAGGCUGCUUCUGUGACUCUGCUCCCAGCAUUAACCUGCUUCCUGGGCUGCUUUUCUGCCCCCUCUGGCUCUGGUUGCUGCAGCUCUGCUCCCAGGGCAAGUCUGCUCUGCCUGGGCUGUGCCUCUGGCUUUGGUGCUGCAGCUCUGCUCCCAGGACAGGGUCUGUUCUCUCUGGGCUGCUUUUCUGGUCUCUCUGGAUCUGGCACAGCUCUGCUCCCCAGCUCAGCUUGGGCCACUGCUUUCUCCUUAGCUCAGCCCCACUCUGUCUGACCCAUGCAAUUCCAGCUCACCCAGAGGAGGACGGGACUUCCCUGGCCUCCUGAUUCCCUGAUUAGCCUGCCCGCCCUGUCAUUCAGGUUGACCUGAAGCAUUGGUCUCUCCCCAUUGUUCCUGGGGACUGUCAGUCUCAGGGUCCUGAUUUCCCAUUGACCCUUCCCCCUUUAGUACUGGGAGCUAGCAAGUAAAACACCCCCACUGAAUGUUAGUAAGGGGGCUACAGUCCCCUUACAGUUUUUUUUGAGCUAACUACAAAUAGCCACAUGUCCCCUUUUCAUGUCAGAAACAUCUAUUGACUGAUGAUCACAUUUCCCUUGCUUUCCUGUCUAGGCAGAGUCAGGGUGUUAGGAAUCAGAAAAUAAUCACUGGAAAUUUCUAAGCCAGCCUUUUAACAUACAACAUCACUUUCCCCUGUUAAAAUAACUCUUAUUUUUUUCUAUAACACUCAUUCAAAUGAUGUUAACACAAGCUCUGAGCUACUAAUUUCCUUACUGUUCCCUUCAUAUUUUUAGCAGAAUACAUUGACAUAAAAGAGAAA